GCGUCGCAGCAAAACAAAAAUGGGAAAGAAAAGGGGAAACCUUAGAUGUUUGCCCCUAUUCGAUUUGCCAUUCAACCACUACCAUUCCACCAUUAUAAUCGGUGGAUGAUAGCACGCAAUGAAAUCAUCCCAUUCCCUCAUUUUAAAUCUUGCCUCAAAAGGUCCGAUUUCAGCCUCGAAAACCUAUUUCAAGCUUCGAUUUCGACGAAGAAGAUAAGGCCUCUGAUGGCUCAUUUGAAAAAGCGUACAGAAAAGCAAGCUACUCGUGAGGAGGCCCUUCAUGAGAGGCUCGAUUCCAUGGCUAGCUGUUGCACUGCGUAUUCCAGAAACCUAUAGGGUUUCUGGUGUUUUCUCAUUAUUGGGCUCAUUUGGGCCGUAUGUAAAUUGAGCUAGGAUUUUAGGUUUUGGACUAGUGUUUUAUUUUUAUUUCGGGCUAUGUUUUGUUAUUGGACUUUGGGUUAGUGUUUUGGGCCUUUAUUUUUGUAAAAGAACUUGAACUUUUAAUUUAUUUAGCUCAUGGCUUUAUUUA